CCCUCCUGCCUGGUCCACGCCUGGAGCCCAAGCUGGGAGGACCGCCUGUCCGGAAGGCACUCACUCCGGCGGAAGGCCCUCUCGCCCACAGCUCACCCUCCCUGCUCUGGAUGAUGGCAGAAGCCAUACACAGUCCUAGGAACAGCCCAAUGGUUCCAUCCUGUGGUGCCCUUGGGGAUCAGGAGUGAACCUCAUCCAGGCGGUACCGGGGACUGAACCCAGGAGCUCACAGUGCUCGGAAGGGCUCUGCGACUGAGCUACACCCAGCUCUCUUUAUUAUUUUGCAGCAAGAGCUCCCUAAGCUGCUAGGUCGCCUGGGCUGGGCUCAAAUUUGCCAUCCUCUUGCCUCAGCCUCCCAAAGUGCUGAGAUUACAGGGGUCACCGCCAUGCCCAGUGGCUUCUUUCAGGGAUGGUUUCCCUGACAGAGCAGGAGGGGAGCCGGCUGGGGCACCAGGAGGAGGAAGAAGCGAGUAUAUGUCUCUGCCCCUCUUUUCCUGCCCCAUCCUAAACCCCAACCUCGUGACUCUUCAUGCUGUUGGGGGAAAUGCUGAGCCUCCUCAGGCCGUUGCCCGCUGCUGUUGCCGUGCCACGCAGUGCCACCUUGGCCUUUCCUGGAGCCCCGCUCAGAGCCACCUUGCCGGCAUGGAGCUCAGGCCCCAAGGCCCCAGACAGGUGCAUUCAUGCCCGUGCGCAGGUGCCCUGCACAGCCCUGCACAGAGUGGGCACUGGACUCAGAAUUUCGUGUAGAGCGUGAGGCAGCGGCCGGUGCCACCUUUAUCCCUAGGCCACCUCUGACCUUUAGUGACAGUUGCCAAGCACUUGGGUCUGGCUUUCUCCUACUCCCUGGGCAGUGGCCACCUGCCAGUGCCUAACUAGGCCAGAGCUGGGGCACAAUCUGGGGAGACUGCACCCCGCCCAUCAGCCUGCUGGGACAGCCAUUGCCUGAGCCCUAGGGGGAUGGGGCUGGGGACCCUGCAGGAACAGCAGGGUUGGGGUGGGGAAGGACCAGCAGAGUACGGAGGAGGCUGGGCCCCAGGGGCUAAGAGGACUGGGAGUGCCUGGCAUCAGAGCACCCCAAAGUCACAGGGGUGCUGGGUCCGAGCCAGCCCAUGCAGUCCAGAGGGUGUAGGGCUGGCAAGCAGGCCCGGGACAGCCCCCAGGGCAGGCACGCUUGGGAACCUGCACCCCAUGCAAGCCCAUGAGACACAAGCCUCUCCCCAGCCCCCAGAGUCAGAUCCCACUGCUCACAGGGCCCUACAGAGUUCAUAGACCCUGUCUGAAGGCUGCACACACUCGUCACCUAUAGUCCCUGCUCUCAGGAGGCCAAGGCAGGAGGAUCGCUUGAGCCCAGGAGUCCAGGGCCAGCCCAAGUAACAAGGUAAAACAAAAAGAUCUGGGACCCUGGAGUAGGGCUGGGUCAUGAGUCCCAGCUUGGACUCCAGGCCCAGUGCUUGGACUCAUUACCUUACUUGGCCACUCACUGGUACAGCCAGGAUCCCACAGCCAACCCUUCUGGGUCAACCCCAUGUCCCCACUGCCAGGUGGGGGCAUCUGAAGAACAGGGCUGAUAACCAGUCCUGGCUUUAAGUUUCAGCCACACCACAGGGCAUGAGAGAGGGGACCAGGAGGGAAGACCAUGGAGCCCCAAAUCAGAGCAGGGGUUGGGCUAGGGCAGCCCUGGCCUGGGGACAGGAAAGCCCAGAGCUGCUUGGAGCUGUCCUUUUCCUGCAGGGACAGCCUCUUGGUGUCUGCUGGCGUCGCUGCCCCUUCCCAGUCCUCCCCUCGGUCCCAGGCUCUUACCCUGGGACAGCCCGGCCCAACUGGGGACACUGUACGGCUAGAUGUCAAAGUCCCUGGGCAGAGGACAGGGACCAGCAGAGUGAGCUGAGGCACUGUCUGGCCACCAGGAGCUCCCAGGGGGCCAGGAGAGGAGGACCGUAGGGAAGAGGUCCUCUGCAGGCCAGUCCUGAGCUCCCCUCACCUUGGCAGGUGAAGCCAUCGGACCAGCCCACCCCGCCCAGGCCAUAGCCAGGUGGGCACUGGAGCAAUUCACCCAACCUGCUGUGCCCGGCAAGGCCACACACAGUGGGGUCUGAGGUGCCAGGCAGGCGGGGCCUCACCCCUGUCUGACAGGGGCCUGCAGAAUGGCGGGUCAGCACCCCUCCCCUCCCGCCCAACCCAUUUGGCGCUCAGCCCGCUCUGAGUGGAGCCAGCUCUCGUUUGCAGCCGGUGUUAAUUAAGAGAGAGAGGUGCUGGGGGAGGCAGGGAGGGCUGCGGAGGGCAGCUCCGACAGCCACGCGCUGUGGGCCUGAGGCGCCCCCUUCCUCCCUUGCUGCCCUAGGUGGGCUGUACCACAGUCCCUUGGGCCACACUCAAGCCCUCCUCUUUGUGGCUUGGCUUGGGAGUGAGACAGAUCUGGUUCUGAUCCUGCCACUGCCACUGUGAGCCUCCGCCUCUCGGGGCCUCAGCGUCCUUCUCUGUGAAGAGGGAACAACAGGCCCCUCCCUGGUGGCCUUGCUGUGAUGAGGGGGACCAUUUGCCCCAAGCCCUGAAUCUGCCCUUGGUCAGUGGGAAGCAGAGACCACGUGCAGAGCCAGCCCCGCCCAGCCUGGGAUCCACCGCCCCCUCCAACUCAGCCUGCUCGCCCCUGCCCAGCGCUCAGCUCCCUUUCUCCCUCCUCCCUGCGGCCCCCACCUCGUUCAGGGAGCGCCAGGCCGCUCCUUGCCUCUCCAUCUUAAUUAGCUGCUUGUAUUAAUCUCACAAGUAACAUGGCAACUUGCAGCCCCGGGUGUUCGGGCUGUGGAAUUAAUUAUUCCCCAAGCGAAGAGCUGUCAGGUCUGGGAGACCAGCCACUGGAGCCCCCGACACCACUUAGCAGUGUCCCCAGCUUCUGCACAGCCCUCCUACAGGAGGGGAGAGGAGCCGAAGACCCAGCCUGGGAGCCCGGACCCCAGGCCCACCUGGGCAGUUCCGGGUCCGCUGCAGCCCACACCCUGCCUGGUGGAUCCAGGAGCUCGCCGGGGUCACAGGCUGGAACCGGAAGUGGGAGGCCGGGCAGGGCCGUGGACGAGGCCGUCAGCCACCUGGGAAGUGGGAAAGGCGGCCUGCAGGGCACAGUGAGAGGCACAGAGCUGCCCGGGAAAGUGGUAGUGGAGCACUGCCUGGCGCCACCUGCCUUCUGUGCCAGAGUCAGGGCCCUCUCUGGGGCUGGGGCCAGAGCUGGGGUGCCCUCUCCCUCCACCGCCACACGGACCCUAGAAGGGAUGGCACCCCAGGCACAAUGUGUUGGGCCCGGGCUUGGCACCCUGUGGCUGUCCCUGCCAGGCAGCCCAUUCCUGCUCCUGUCCUCGCGGCUCCUGCUCCCCCUGGCAGCGCUGUCCACACUGUGGUCGUAGAGGUGUGAGCCCAAGGUCAGGGAUCAGGCCAUCUGUACCCCAUGCCUCCCCAGGGCCAGGCCCCACUGCACCUCAGGGUCGCCCACCACACCUUCUGAGGCUGUGGGGCAAAAGAAGGACGCACAGUGCGUGUCCUCCACCAGCCAAACCUCGCAGGCGGCUGCCUCCCUGAUGGCUCCCCUCUGCCCUACAAACCUCAGGCCACUAGGAGCAUCAAGGGAGAAGAGUCCCGGCCCCUCUAACCCCCCCACCCCGUCACCUGCCCCUGCUCGAGGGGCUAGGAGGCCCUGUAACCAGAGACUGAGGACCUGGGGUUCCGGGCCUGCUCUAAGGGGGCAACCGACAGCCACUCCAAGACCCUCCUUAGCGCGCUGCCUGCCCUGCCCCGGACAGUUCCCUACUGACUGCUUCUCUCUCUC